rnacentral:rRNA from 1 species
UACGUAGGAGGCGAGCGUUAUCCGGAUUUAUUGGGCGUAAAGAGCGCGUAGGCGGGCCGGUAGGUCUUGCGUGAAAGGUGAGGGCUCAACCCUCACACGUCGCACGAUACCGCUGGUCUUGAGGCAGUCAGGGGAUGACGGAAUUCCGCGAGGAGUGGUGAAAUGCGUAGAUACGCGGAGGAACACCGGUGGCGAAGGCGGUCAUCUGGGGCUGUCCUGACGCUGAGGCGCGAAAGCCAGGGGAGCGAACGGG